UGUAUCAGGGGAUGUUCCAAGAGUCGAUGGACAGCUAGCGGUUGCGAGGGCGUUUGGUGACAAGAGCUUAAAGAUACAUCUUAGCUCAGAACCAGACAUAACACACCAGACAAUCGAUGAUGAGACUGAGUUCAUCGUUUUUGCGAGUGAUGGAAUUUGGAAGGUGAUAACGAACCAAGAAGCUGUGGACGUGAUCAAAAGCAUAAAAGAUCCACAAGCGGCAGCCAAGGAGUUGAUAGAAGAAGCAGUCUCUAAGAAAAGCAAAGACGACAUCUCUUGUAUAGUUGUAAGGUUCCAGUGAGUCUAAAUUUUACCAAUCCAGUGUGUGAGAGAGAGAAACAAAAGAUAUAAACGCCCAAGAGCUCUUGUAAAAACAUAUGGCCAAAAGUGAAAGAGUUGUUCCAUGCUUGGUUCAUGAUCCAAA